AGCUCCAAUAGCGUAUAUUAAAGUUGUUGCAGUUAAAAAGCUCGUAGUUGAACUUCAGACCUGGCCGGUCGGUCCGCCUCACGGCGUGUACUGCUUGGCCGGGUCUUCUCUCUUGGUGAUCCGGCAUGCUCUUUACUGGGUGUGUCGGGGAACCAGGACUUUUACUUUGAAAAAAUUAGAGUGUUCAAAGCAGGCCUAUGCCCGAAUACAUUAGCAUGGAAUAAUAAAAUAGGACGUGCGGUUCUAUUU
rnacentral:rRNA from 1 species